rnacentral:snRNA from 1 species
GAUAGCCAAAGAGACUGCC